GUGGUCAAGUUACAAAGGGCUGAUGGUGGAUACCUAGGCACACAGAGGCGAAGAAGGACGUGGUUACCGACGAUAUGUCCCGGGGAGUUGGAAGCAAGCAUUGAUCCGGGAGUUUCCGAAUGGGGCAACCCUAAACAUGGCUGUCUGAAU
rnacentral:rRNA from 1 species